AACGAACGCUGGCGGCAGGCUUAACACAUGCAAGUCGAACGCCCCGCAAGGGGCGUGGCCGCCGGGUGAGUAACGCGUGGGAACAUACCCUUUUCUACGGAAUAGCUCUGGGAAACUGGAAUUAAUACCGUAUACGCCCUACGGGGGAAAGAUUUAUCGGGGAAGGAUUGGCCCGCGUUGGAUUAGCUAGUUGGUGGGGUAAAGGCCUACCAAGGCGACGAUCCAUAGCUGGUCUGAGAGGAUGAUCAGCCACAUUGGGACUGAGACACGGCCCAAACUCCUACGGGAGGCAGCAGUGGGGAAUAUUGGACAAUGGGCGCAAGCCUGAUCCAGCCAUGCCGCGUGAGUGAUGAAGGCCUUAGGGUUGUAAAGCUCUUUCACCGAUGAAGAUAAUGACGGUAGUCGGAGAAGAAGCCCCGGCUAACUUCGUG
rnacentral:rRNA from 1 species